GUAGGUGAACCUGCGGAAGGAUCAUUGUCGAUACCUGCCCUAACAGAGAGACCCGCGAACAUGUUUUGCACAAUCAUCGUAUGCAGGGUGUGGUCCACGAACGUUCGUGGCAUCGGACCAAACAAUCCACCGGCGUAACUGACGCCAAGGAAACUCACAAUGGAAUGGGUGCGCCAUCACCGUGCCUUCGGCGUGGUGCGUGCAUUCGUCUCAAGUCCGAAACUCAAUUACGACUCUCGGCAACGGAUAUCUCGGCUCUCGCAUCGAUGAAGAACGUAGCGAAAUGCGAUACUUGGUGUGAAUUGCAGAAUCCCGUGAACCAUCGAGUCUUUGAACGCAAGUUGCGCCCUAGGCCAUCAGGUCGAGGGCACGCCUGCCUGGGCGUCACGUUUCGUGUCGCCCCCCCUCUCUUAGCCCUAGUGGCGAUGGAGUGUGGAUCGGAGAUUGGCCCCCCGUGCCACCGUUUUGAGGUGCGGUCGGCCUAAAUACAGGCUAAGUCCCCCUGUGUGGCGAUCGUCACGACGAGUGGUGGUAGCAGCCACUGUGCCAUUAGUUCGGACGUCGUGUGCGACAUUUGCUCUCAUCGGGGCCUUAGUAGCGAUAACCCUGAUACGUGCUGUCUUAGGAUGGCAUUUUCGACCGCGACCCCAGGUCAGGCGGGGCUACCCGCUGAG
rnacentral:rRNA from 1 species